CAGAGGAGUUGAUGACCCUUUAGAUUAAAAGCUGCAGAAAGCUAGUAGGGCUUAGUUGACACAACUAAUUUGAUUCAUGUGGGAGCCCCUAAAAUUCUAGAAACUGUUUGGAUGCUAAAUGCAGAACGUCCUGCACACAUUUCCUUCCAUCUGGCAACUUAACAGGAUAGAGGCUCCAAACUUAAGGAUCUACCAAAUGCAUCCCUCAGACUACAGUACCCACACCAUAUGAUUAAGGAACAAAUCAACAAAGCAAGAAGCAUACCCAGAAGUAAGAGAGACCCAGAUGACAAAAUACAUUUGUCACUUACUGUCCACAACUGAGACCACUCACAAACAUCUUAAGAAUGAUCUCCAGCCCCUCCUGAACACUUCACUCUCCAAAGCUCUUGGUGGGACACCCGUACUUGCCUAUAGACAACCUCCCCUCCCGCAACCUCAGGCAAAUAUUAACACACAAUGGACCACAAAACAGUAACACAGACGGGGACUAAACCCUGCCACAGACCCAGAGGCCAACUCUACCCGCACAUCUAUUCUGGCAACACAGUCACGGGACCUAACAAUGCUACACACAGUAUCAAAGGCACCUUCACUUGUGAUCUGUGCCAUUUUUCCAAUAAUGCCCUUCUGCACUCUACAUAAGAAAAACAGAAGAAUCUCUGUGGAAAUGAAUCAAUGGUCACUAAUCAGACAUCAGAAACGACAACACAUACAAACCUGUCUCCAACUGUUU